UCCUCAAAGGCCUGAUUCCGAUCUCGACGCGUGAGUGCGAAAGGCCUUCGGGUCGUAAAGCUCUGUCCUCGGGGAAGAAGGUGACGGGGCCGCAAGGGGAAGCCGCUGAUGGCUCGGAAGGAAGCUCCGGAUACUACGUGCCAGCAGCCGCGG
rnacentral:rRNA from 1 species